GUGCUCGCUUUGGCAGCAUAUGUACUAAAAUUGGAAUGAUACAGAGAUUAGUAUGGGGCCUGCACACAGAUGACACGCAAAUUCAUGAAGCAUUCUACGUUUUU
ensembl:snRNA U6 U6 spliceosomal RNA